rnacentral:lncRNA from 1 species
GUUUCAAUUACAGCUAAACCGGUGACUGCAUGUACUUGUUGAUCACCCGAAGACGCAAAUUUUGAGAAGCAUGUGUAGUAGGUGGUUAGUUUUUCCGUCCGCGGGAGAUGCCCGGAGAACACUAGAGACGCACCAGCUCUAAUUAAACCAAAGCCAGCCGCCAUCGUGUGUCUCUCGUACAAUCCUGACAGCGCUAGUUCAUUUGAGAUCAGCCUGCGUGUACUUCAACUCGGGGAAAUGAGUGGAUUUCACAUCUAUACUUUCACUCUCCCUGUAUGUUUCCAGUCUAUCAUACAUUUCCGUGUGCUGACACAGGUCUCAAUACAAAGGGGUGGAAGGAAUGAAUUAACAUACCAUAACAGAGAGGUUGUUCUGCUGGUAUUAUUUUAACGUGUCAGUAAUCAUCGCCACCUCCCAGUCGGUAUGUAGGUCGCGGGCUCGUCGAUAAGCUACUUUCGCUUUUCUGGGUUCACUUGCUUCGUGCCACGAGAGCGCCUCCUACACACCUUUCGUCCCUAGGCGCUCGCUUUUCUUUUAAAGACUGAACUCGAAGCAGCCAUAUUCUGUAUAAUGCUACUACCUCACGAACGUAGCUGAGGCACCGCGGGUGUUUACAUCCGGUUUAAACGAUGCGGCGUCGGCGGCACUUCAGUAAAGUGACCCACGCCAACAAGCGACUGGGAAUUCGAAGGGGGACGGACACCAGUCGCAUUCGUAACAGAGAUUUUAACGUGCAACCAGUUGAACAAAUCAUCAGAUGGUCUGCCGAGCAUCGUCCAGCAGAACGUGGCACCACGUCUCAUGACGAACUUUAUAUUUGCGGAGCAUCGUGUGUGGAAUCUAUGGAACACGAUAAAACAUAUAAAAGAGGGCAUAUCUGGAGGCCGGGGUCAUGCGUCCCUACUGAGAACAAAAGCACUAUCUGGAUUCUACCGUCUGAAGGCACUUCUCAUACAUCCAAACUACCGCCCCUCCGCUUUAGUAACCGUCCUGGCGAUUAAAAGCGACUGAUACUGAAUAUCACGAAAGACGAACACCGAGCAACUCCCGUCAAGAACGCAUCCGGGUACAUGUAGCCAACCCUCCGGGGUAGCAACGGACAUCCACAUCACUUCCACGGGAAUCCUCUGACGAGCAUCACCAUAAACUAUCACCUAAUUUCCAGCUGUAACUUUCCCAGUGGUAUAUUCCUUCUUGGAGUUCGGCAGCCUCCGGUAUCCAACUUCCAUUUUUUCCCCCGUAGUCGAUUGGGU